rnacentral:rRNA from 1 species
AUUGAACGCUGGCGGCAGGCCUAACACACGCAAGUCGAGCGGCAGCGGGAAAGUAGCUUGCUACUUUUGCCGGCGAGCGGCGGACGGGUGAGUAAUGCCUGGGAAAUUGCCCAGUCGAGGGGGAUAACAGUUGGAAACGACUGCUAAUACCGCAUACGCCCUACGGGGGAAAGCAGGGGACCUUCGGGCCUUGCGCGAUUGGAUAUGCCCAGGUGGGAUUAGCUAGUUGGUGAGGUAAUGGCUCACCAAGGCGACGAUCCCUAGCUGGUCUGAGAGGAUGAUCAGCCACACUGGAACUGAGACACGGUCCAGACUCCUACGGGAGGCAGCAGUGGGGAAUAUUGCACAAUGGGGGAAACCCUGAUGCAGCCAUGCCGCGUGUGUGAAGAAGGCCUUCGGGUUGUAAAGCACUUUCAGCGAGGAGGAAAGGUUGAUGCCUAAUACGUAUCAACUGUGACGUUACUCGCAGAAGAAGCACCGGCUAACUCCGUGCCAGCAGCCGCCGCGGUAA